CAGCCGCCGCGGGAAUACGAAGGGGGCUAGCGUUGCUCGGAAUUACUGGGCGUAAAGGGAGCGUAGGCGGAUCGUUAAGUUGGGGGUGAAAGCCCGGGGCUCAACCUCGGAACUGCCUUCAAUACUGGCGAUCUUGAGUAUGAGAGAGGUGUGUGGAACUCCGAGUGUAGAGGUGAAAUUCGUAGAUAUUCGGAAGAACACCAGUGGCGAAGGCGACACACUGGCUCAUUACUGACGCUGAGGCUCGAAAGCGUGGGGAGCAAACAGGAUUAGAUACCCGCGUAGUCCCUGUCUCUUAUAC
rnacentral:rRNA from 1 species